rnacentral:lncRNA from 1 species
CUUGUCCCAUAUAUAAUUGUUUAUAUAUCCCUCAAAAUUUCAAAAAUAUCUCAUCUAUCCCUUUUUUUUUUUUCUUUCCAAUAUACCCCUAAUAUACGGUUACUCCAUUAUUCCAAAAUAUCCCUGCAGUUACCACCCGUUAAGUUAACUUGCGUUAAACGCGAGUUAAAUAUCUACCACAGUUAAAAAAAAUUAAAAUAUUGCUUUUGUCCUUAACUUAAAGGCAAGUAAGAAAUAUUAGUGAUGGUAGAAGGGUAUAUUUGAAAAAAUCAAAAAGCGAAAUCUUUUUGUGCCCCUAACUUAAGGGCAAAUAAGAAAAGUCAGUGAUGGUAGAAGAGUAUAUUUGAAAGGGCAAAAUAGUAAAUAGUAAUUUCACAGAAAUAAUAGAGUUUAUUAACAGAUUUUAAUUCGGGGUAUAUGAUUUUAACUCUAGGGGUAUAUUAGAAAUAGAUUGGAACGUAAAAAAGGUAUUUUCAAUAUUAGCCUUCCAAAAGGAGUAAAUUAGAAAGUCAGAAAAUUUUCAGAGAUAUAUAAGCAAUUGCCCCAAAAAAUAAAGUGGAAUUAAGUAUAAUUAAUUUUGGUCUCUAACUCGCAGAAAGUGAAUCACCGAACUUCAAUUUCUCGGGCUUUUUUAUAAAAUGACCCUCUAAAAAAGUGUAAUUGGCAAAAUAACCAUAUGAAAAUUUUAUUUGUAAAACUAACCCUCCUUUCGCUACGUAGGCGCCACGUCAGGAUUUUCUUAUAAAGACGAUGAAUCGUUCGCCGUUUUCUCUUAUUUCUUUUAAAGGCGGUGAAUCGUUCACCGCUUUCUCUCAUUUCUUUUAAAAACGGUAAAUCAUUUACCGCCUUUCAUUUAUUUACUGUUAUCUCAUAUAAUCUUAACAACUUUUAAAUUCUAAUAAUUUAUCCAUAUAAUUUCAUAUAAAAGCAGUUAAGAUUAUAUAGAUAAAUUAUUAGGAUUUAAAAGUUGUUAAGAUUAUAUAUAAUUUGUUAGAAUUUUUAUGUGAUUGUUAGGAUUAUAUAUGGAAUAUAGAAAAUAACAGUAAAUAAGCUAUGGGAGAAAGCGGUGAAUGAUUCACCGCCUUUAAAAGAAAUGGGAGAACGUGGUGAACAAUUCACCGUCUUUAAAAGAAAUGGGAGAACGCGGUGAAUGAUUCACUGCCUUUAAAAGAAAUUCUGACGUGGUGCCGACGUGGCGAAAAGAUGGUUAGUUUUACAAAUAAAAUUUUGAGUGGGUUAUUUCGCAAAUUUUAAAAUUUUAGAAAGUUGUUUUAUAAAAAAGUCCCUGUCAUGCAGGCACAAGAAUGGAGUUGCUGGAAUAAGUUGAAUACAGUAAUUCAUUCACUGUGAUUCACUGAAACAUGGUAAAUCAUUCACCGUGUUCAAAAUACAGUGAAUGAUUCACCGUGUUCAACUUAAGAACCCUCCCCAGUCAGCUUACGUGAUGCUGAUAUGGCGCCUACGUGGCGGGAAUAGGAUCAAAAUUAUAAUUAUAAAUUUGAUGAGGCUAUUUGUGAAAAAAAAAAAUUUGAGAGGGCCAAGCCAAAUGCAAAAAAAAAACCCAAGAUUAAUUGUUCCUUUGAAAUUAGGUGUUGCUAAAUAAGAUAAAUAGUAUUCAAAUAAUUAGAUAAAUUAGUUAAAAAAUUAAUUAGAUUAGUUGAAAUAUUAAUGAUGAAUUAAUACUAAUAUUGAUAUUGAUAAUCAAUAUCAAUAUCAAUAUCAAUAUCUAUCUAUAUACAUAAAUUAUUUUUGCCACGUGGCAGCACCAUAGUCUCUCAUUCUCAAAAUUUCUACUCUCCAAACAUUGCGACCGCUCGCCUUCCUCAUAAUGUCUGCAUCUUUGGCUUUCCGUCUAAUUAAUUCCUUCCCUAUAACGUUUAUCUCUUCAGCUUCCCGUCUCAGUAAUUCCUUCCCCAUAACGUAUGCCUCUUCGGCUUCUCGUCUCAUUAAUUCCUUCUAUGUAAUGUCGUUGCUUCAACUUCCCGCCUCAUUAGUUUC